rnacentral:rRNA from 1 species
CCUACGGGAGGCAGCAGUGGGGAAUAUUGGACAAUGGGGGAAACCCUGAUCCAGCCAUGCCGCGUGAGUGAUGAAGGCCUUCGGGUUGUAAAGCUCUUUUGUCAGGGAAGACGAUGACUGUACCUGAAGAAUAAGCCCCGGCUAACUUCGUGCCAGCAGCCGCGGUAAUACGAAGGGGGCUAGCGUUGUUCGGAAUUACUGGGCGUAAAGGGCGCGUAGGCGGUUCUUUAAGUCAGGAGUGAAAGCCCUGGGCUCAACCCGGGAAUUGCUCUUGAAACUAUUGAACUUGAGUAUAGGAGAGGUGAGUGGAAUUCUCAGUGUAGAGGUAAAAUUCGUAGAUAUUGAGAGGAACACCGGUGGCGAAGGCGGCUCACUGGCCUAUUACUGACGCUGAGGCGCGAAAGCGUGGGGAGCAAACAGGAUUAGAUACCCUGGUAGUCCACGCCUUAAACGAUGAAUGCUAGUUGUUGGAUAGUCUAACUAUUCAGUGACGACGCUAACGCAUUAAGCAUUCCGCCUGGGGAGUACGGCCGCAAGGUUGAAACUCAAAUGAAUUGACGG